CGUUGUCCCAAAUCUCCAGCGAAUAAAACAUUCCCCGAGUUUUUAAACGCUUCGGUUGAUGGUCUUGGUGUUGUUUUGCCUUUUCCUUUUGUUAAAUCUGUGGCUUAAUUUUUAUUUUUUUUUUUUUUCCUCUCCCCCUGGAGAGAUUCCCCCCCUGUACCCUCCGAAAAGGAUGGCAGAGGGGCUGGGGGUGGGGGCACUGGGAGAGUUUUCAUUGUGACUUCCCGAGAGUUGGUUCCUUUCCAGUUGUUCACAUCUCAGCAUGUGGAAUUAUUGUGCUUUCUCCCGAUUUGCCACAGAAUUGGCAGUAGCCUGACAUUGUUACUCAUUGGAAUUGUAUUUGGAGCCGGGCUGAUUUUUUUUUUUUUUUAAUUUUUUUUCUUUCUCUUUUGACUUAUUUAUUUUAAUCACCCGCAUUUUUUUUUUUUUUUUAAUUUCAUAACAACCCCUUUGAUUUUGCAAACAAUAUAUUUAACAGUCUGUAAAAUGGAGGAGAGGAGGAAAAAAAACCAAAAAACCACCAGGGUGAGAGGAUUGUGGCAAGCCUGUCCCUGAAUCCCAUAUUCCCCUCCCCGUGCAAUUUUUUUUUAGUUGCCUCCUGAAGAACCCCCUCCCUCCCCAUAGGAGGGAGUGGCCUUUUAGGGAUCAAGAACACGCUCCCGAGGAGCUGGGCCUAAGCAAUAUGGCAGCGCACGUUCCAUAGGAAACCUGCAGAGUGCUGCUGAGCUCUGUUCCCAAGGAGGGCACAAUCCCUGUGCUCCCUGCAGCCUGGAGCACUGCAGGGACUGAGCUUUGCCCACCCCAAAAUCCCAGCCCAGGAUUUUUGAAAGAUGCUGCAGCAGGAAUUUUGGCUGGUGGAAACUUUGGGAAAAGCUGGACUCUUUUAAGCCCCCGAGCAGCAAGCACGGUGUUAACAUUCCCCAAAAGCACCAUGGCAACCUCUCAGUGUUCUUGCCUUCGUGGUCAGCAAGCACAAGUCUCCAAAGUCAGAGCUGAGAGAAGAGCAGUGACUUCCAGGGGUGCUGUGCUCCAGCUUUGCAGGAAUUGCAGAAAUCCCAACCCAUGCAUCCUGAAAUCCCAGCCACACACCCAGAAAUCCCAGCCAUGCAUCCAGCAGUCAGGAAGGAAGUUGAAAGGACAAAGAGGAGGGGAGCAGAUGAGGGUGACAAAAAAAAUCUGGACCCUGCAGCUUCUUCCAAGCACUCACAACCCUCCAGGAAUGGGGUAAGUGUUGUCCUGAUGGGUCUGUAUUUUUACAGAAUAUUGAUUUUAUCAGUGAUUGGGUGUGGAAUUGGUCUGAAAAACUGUUUUUGGUUGUCAAGAGCACUGUUCUGGAAAUAUCCAAGUCAUGACAACUUUGCCCAGCUUUGCUUUCCACUCUGAAUUUUACCUUUCCUCACAUAAUUUAAAUUCUUCAUUUCUAUUAGUGAAUGCUUUUUACUCCCCUGAAGACAUUUUAAUAAUUUGGAAACUGCUCUCAUAUAUGCUAUCCUUACAGCUGAGCUGUAACCAUUAUUUUUAAAAUAUUUCUGAAAUUUUCUCUGUCCACUUCGCCCAGAGUGAAGUUAUUGACUGGUCUCAAAGAGGCCUCAAGGUUUUAGAGCUGAUGCUGAAGUCCCUAAAGCUGAACAUCCCUUCUUCCCCUUUGAAUUGCUAAUUCCAAUUGAUCUGAGGGGAAAAAAAAAGUUGUAAUAGUUUGUAUUUACUCUACUCUUUCCUUUAACAGCACCUACCAAGGUCUCUCCUUGCUUUGAGCCUGUCUCCAUGAGUAAAUUCAUUCUUCCUUUCUGUUUUCCAGCUUCUCUCUGCAAACUUUCUUUCAGUCCAUUUCUGCAAGAAUUUCCUGCAAACCAUGUCCCUGAGAGGAUUAGUGGAGGGGAUACCAAUUUUAUUUAUAUUUAUUUAGAAAUGGACUGCAGAGACUUGGCCCUUUUUUAAACAUGAGAACAAUUUUCAGGCCUCUUUCAGUUGUGGUUUUUUCACUCAAAAAAAAAAAAAAACCCAAAAACCCCAAACCCAGCAAACCACAGAACAAUAGAGAAAUAUGAGAAGUUGUGGAAACCCCUCAAACUUUCUCUGUUUAAUUUUUGAAUUCCUGGUGGUCACAGGGCCAGGUGAUGCUGCCAGUUGUGGGUUUUUUGUGUAGUGCCUGGCCCAGAGCAGCAAGUUGUGUUAAAUGCAAAGCUGGGAUCAAAUCAAACAGAAUGACACCUCUAUUUUUUAUUAUUUAUUUUAUUUUUGCCAGCCUGGAGGCCUUUAACAUUUUGGAAUUGGAGUGUUUGCAAAACAGGGUUGCUGGACUCCAGUAAAUGAAGUGUCUGGAUGUCAGUGGUGAUUCAUAAAAGCAAUUAAAAGAGGAAAGUGCUUUUCCUCUGAGCUGGCUUGGAGGAUGUCCUUAAGUGAGUGUGGAGUGCCAGGCAGUGUCAGGGGAUGGGGGCUCUUGUGUUCCAGGUCAUGGAUCCAGCAAACACUUCUUUAUCACCUGGUGCUGCUGAUUAAAACUAAAUUUAUUUUUAUUUUUUUUCAGUCCCAGGGGUGGGAAGGGAGCUCUGGAGAUCACCCAGAAGAACCCCCCUGGCCAGGCAGGGUCACCUGGGGCAGGGACACAUCCAGGUGGGGUUGGGAUGGCCCCACACAGGGAGAUCCCAAAACCUCCCUGGGCAGCUCAGGGCUCUGCCACCUCUUCCAAAGAACUUUAAUUUCUGGCCAUUGCUCCAUUUCCUGUCACCAAUGUGGCACCCUUCUCUGACACCUGCCUUGGGGAUGUUUGUAUGGUUUAACAACUGAAUCUUAUUUAGUUUCUAGUUCACUAUAGUUCUCAUUUCUUCCUUCUCUAAUUUGAGGACAAUCCCCCUGAGGAUGCAACGUUUUCCAUAGGAGAAAUGAGGUUGUGGCAACGUAAAUAUUGGCGGUGACGGAUAAGUGAAACUCUUCAAAUCUGACUUUUUUUUUUUCCCUGCCUAGUGCAACUCCCUGGCAUUUCUGACCUUCCUCAAACACAAACCAGCCCAUUUGUACAGCUGUAAAGCGAUUUUCCAGGUGCAAGGCUGAGCUUGGUUGGAGCACGAUGGAGGUGGUUGUUGUUGUACACAAGGAUCCAUCGGCACAGCCACGUUACCUGAGCCACCAGCAGAGCCUGGGGCAUCCCUACAAACUCUCUGCAUGGCUUUUCCAGCCUUCCCAACCAUCCUGGAGGCUUUUGGGGAUGGUUGUGGGGCUGUCCCAGAGCAGGCACUUCCAGUCUCGCUGCCUUCUCCAAGGGGAUUUCUCUCCCUUCUCCUGGAGCUUGCACAGAUUGGAGCUGUGCCUUCCGUGGGCUUUGCCCUUGGUUAUCCCAUGCUAAGGGAAGCAGAAGUUUACUGAUUUAUCAUGGAUCAUUAGGUGGAAGUAACUAUUCUUAAAACAUCAGGAUGGAUACAAUAAUUAGGGAUGUGCUUUUGUUAACACCGCCAGCCUCUACCCUCCUGUACAGUACCCUUGGGUACUAAAUAAUUACCCACUUUGUGUGGAUAUCUAGCUCACUAAUUACCCACAAAAAUUGGGGUCAGGUGUUAACUGCUUGAAAUAAGUAUCCUCCAAAGGCUUGCCUAAAGUGUAUAAAGAAAUUAUGUGUUUGCUACAAAACUUUGGGAAAAAAAAAAAGAAAAUCAAACAUUUUUUGGUUGGGGAGGAAGAUAAGGAGACAAUGGACGUGAAAUGCUCGGUGUGAUGGCAAAAUCUUGCAGUGGUGGUGAGGGACUCUAAAGGCAGUGAAAGGAUGGUUGGCAGAUACAGUCACUAAUCCAGACUACUUUUCCCAAAGAUUAGAUCCUUCAGUACACAGCGUUUGAUUCUUCCCCUAUCUAGGCUGAUGCCAAUCAGGAUUAUGUCGGUAUAAAUAAGAAAAUUUGUAUCCGUGGAUUCCCAGGCUGACUUUGCUGCAUAAUCCCACCUCUUCCAUCACCCAGAGACUUCUGCAUUGCACCCAAUAAUUUAAUUAUGGACUGCAUAUUUAUUUCCAUGUUCCUUUUAGCUCUGUGUGCAUGCAGGAUUUCAUUCUGAGGCUGCUGCUCAUAAAACGCAGUUUGCUUGGAGCAAUAAUUUGAUUCCUGUGCUCAGGGAGUUACCCCAGUGAGUCAAAGAUUUCUAGAUAGCCCCACCCUCCCCAACUUCCCGAACACUCACACUGCAGCCACUUUCUCUGUGCCAGACCCACACAAGCUGCCUAACCAGCCAAAAUCCCAAGGGGCGAUCCCAACCUCCUGCUUCCCCUGCUUCAGCCCCAGAAAAAUGGGAAAUAAAGCCAGGGCAGCCCGUGAAAAACCCAGCACGUGGAACAGGGGGAUGUUUAAGAGCCCUUCUUGCAUAGGUGCUUUCUGCCUUCCAUACAAAGGAAAUGGAUUUGAGAAGGUGUUUCUGAAAUCCUGGUGUCUUUGGAUGCCCCCACACCUUUAAUUCCUGAGCGUCUGUGCAGUGCUCAGCCUAACAAAGAAACUGCCUGCAUUUAUUGCUGUAUUUUGUCCUUCCUCUCCUCCAUAGCCAGAACCACCUUCUGCUCCUGGAAACACCUGGAUGCAGGUAUUAGCCAGCCCCAUGCCGUGUCUGGGCGGACGGGGGGGUCAGGACGAGGUGCGGGCUCGAUUUUGGGGCUACCUGCGCCCCGCAUUGUGCGGAGCAUCCCUGGCAAAGGCAGGGCUCAGCCUCCCGAGCACAAUGCAGAUUUAGUCGUCAUCUUUGUCUCUCCCCCCGCGCCCCCCCCGCCCCGCUCCCCGCUGAUGUUAACUGUCUGUAUUAUUAUUUAUUGUUAUCAGGGGAUUUGGUUUGAUCAAUGAAGUGUAUAUGCGUCUGACGGACAUUCGGGGAGGAAAUGCUUGGAGAAUGAGUAACAUGUCUGCAGUGGAGGGUGUGUGUGAGGCAGAGAGAGGGAGCAUCGGUACUCGAAACAUUGACUGAUGAGUUCAUUUUAAAAUCCAAGGGCAUAUAGCUGGUAAAUUAGCACAUAUUGCAAAUAUAGUCUGGUGCGAGAGGCAGCAGCGCUGCCAUUGAGCGCAGGGGUGGGUGUGGAGGGGAAGGGGGGGUCGAGGAGAGGAGGUUGUCAGCUCUAAAGUCAUCACGGGCAUGAGCCAGGCAGUCUGCCUGCCUCACUGCAGACGUGGGGCGUGCGAUUUCCACGGGCGGCUGCGGCGGGGGGGAGCGGGGGGCACCCGCGAGAGCGGAGCCAGCGCUGGCUUUUAUUGUUUUAAAACCCACAGGCAGGCGGAGCGAGGCGAGGCGAAGGGCUGCAGCCCCUCGGCUCCCCUCGCUGCUCGCCCUUCACCCCCCGAGGGAGGCGGAGGGGCUGCCCGGAGGGUCCCGGGGCUGGUACCCGGCGGGGAUGCGGCGGGGCCGGGGAUGCGCCGGGGAUGCGCCGGAGGCUUCUGCCGGCAGCUUAAGAGAUUAUUGGGAAGGGUGACCGGCAGUGGAGUGUGUGUGUGUGAGUGUGAGAGUGUGUGCGGGGCUGGCGGAGGGGGGAGCGGGUCCUUAUUCUGUUAAAGAUUUAAGUAGGCAUGCAAGGAAUCUCUAGGAUAGUUGGCAAAGGGCGAGGGUGGGGAGGGGGGGGAAGGAUCCAAAAGAGUCUGUAACCAGACACUGAAGCUUUCCAGGAGUGAGAGUGUGUGAGAGAGAAGGAGACAGAGCGAGAGGAAGAGAGGGGGCAGUGUGGUCUAGUACAUUUUCAUCUGGUCGUUGAUUUGAGCCUGAUGCUUGCUGUCCCUCAACAGCCUCCCUUGCCUGGAUUUUUUCUUUCCCCCUCUCCUCUCCUUUCCCUUCUAAUUCAUCGAAGCCUAGGGGAGCCAGGAAAGAUUAAAUGUGCUUUCGAAAAGGCAGCCACUUCAUGCAGCUAUGUCUGCUUCCCCCCCACACCCCCCAGCCACCCCCCCACUCCCCCUUUUUGAAAUAAAAAAAAAAAAAAAAAAAGAGAGGGGGAGACAGAGAGGGGGAGAAGGAAGGAGGAGGAAGAGGAGGACUAUAGUUUAAUGAUGUCGGGACUGGCUGAUCCAGAAGGAGGAAAAAAAAAAAAAAAGGAAAAAAAAAAAAAAAGAAAAUAUUUGAGCUCCUGGACGAGGAAGGACUUUGGUGAAUGGGCUCAGACUCCUGAGCUCUUCCCACACUGCAGUCAAUGAAUCUCUAAUCUCCUGGACUGAAAUGUCUGACACUUGCAGAAUCAUUGAUUUGCUGCCUCGACUCGCAGAGCUCCACCUCCAGCAGCGUCUCAGCAGUGUCUGGUGGUACCUGAUGGAAAUGUCUGUUCUUCCAGGGGUGGGAGGGAUGGAAGGAUGAGCACAGGCUCUGCUGUGCUGUGUGCACCCUUUACAACGAGGGGCAUCUCCAGCAGCAGGAUCUGAGGGACAGGGAGUGGAUAACUCUGCGUUCAUCCCAUGCCAAACACCAGCCCUGGUGCUCUCUGCUGUUUCAUCCCUCUGCAAGGGGGGCAGAAGGGCAAAGAGGAGAAGCUCAGCUCAUGAGAGAAGGCUCCAAACUGCUCCCUGUGGCUACCCCAAGAUGCUGAGCUUGCCCUGGGAGCUUGGCUGGUGCUCCCAGGCCAUCACACACUUCUCACUUCACUGCCCUGCUGGUGGCUUCGCCUGUGGGAUGAAUUAUGCAAGAAUUGUGUGUGUGAAGCAUCAGAAAUGCUGAGGUUGGAGAAGAGGCCUCUCAGUGUAUGAACUUGCUUGUGGAUAAAGUCACACUCACCUGGAUUGCUCCAGAAAAGGACACGAGGUGUGGGAAGGAUCCCACAUUAAUCAGAGGACUUUGGUUGUGCUUUGGUGUGCUUGUAUCAUGUCUGAACGUGCAAAGAACUUGGUUUUCCACAUGGAUCCAGUAAAUGGCACCUCUGUAAAUCA